rnacentral:rRNA from 1 species
GACGAACGCUGGCGGCGUGCUUAACACAUGCAAGUCGAACGGAAAGGCCCUGCUUUUGUGGGGUGCUCGAGUGGCGAACGGGUGAGUAACACGUGUGUAACCUGCCCUUGACUUUGGGAUAACUUCAGGCAACUGGGGCUAAUACCGGAUAGGAGCUCCUGCUGCAUGGUGGGGGUUGGAAAGUUUCGGCGGUUGGGGAUGGGCUCGCGGCUUAUCAGCUUGUUGGUGGGGUAGUGGCUUACCAAGGCUUUGACGGGUAGCCGGCCUGAGAGGGUGACCGGCCACAUUGGGACUGAGAUACGGCCCAGACUCCUACGGGAGGCAGCAGUGGGGAAGAUUGCACAAUGGGCGGAAGCCUGAUGCAGCAACGCCGCGUGCGGGAUGACGGCCUUCGGGUUGUAAACCGCUUUCGCCUGUGACGAAGCGUGAGUGACGGUAAUGGGUAAAGAAGCACCGGCUAACUACGUG